rnacentral:rRNA from 1 species
GGAGUCUGGGCCGUGUCUCAGUCCCAAUGUGGCCGUUCAACCUCUCAGUCCGGCUACCGAUCGUCGGCUUGGUGGGCCGUUACCCCGCCAACUACCUAAUCGGACGCGAGUCCAUCUUCCAGCGGAUUGCUCCUUUGACCCCUCUCGGAUGCCCGAGCGUGGUCUUAUGCGGUAUUAGCAUCUAUUUCUAAAUGUUAUCCCCCUCUCGAAGGUAGGUUCCUCACGUGUUACUCACCCGUUCGCCACUAACUUCUUAGAGUCUUUGGCCGAAGCCUCCGUCUCUAAGUCGUCCGUUCGACUUGCAUGUGUUAGGCGCGCCGCCAGCGUUCGUCCUGAGCCAUGAUCAAACUACU